rnacentral:rRNA from 1 species
UACGUAUGGUGCAAGCGUUAUCCGGAUUUACUGGGUGUAAAGGGUGCGUAGGUGGUAAGGCAAGUCAGAAGUGAAAACACGGGGCUCAACCCCGUGACUGCUUUUGAAACUGUCUAACUAGAGUGCAGGAGAGGAAAGCGGAAUUCCUAGUGUAGCGGUGAGAUGCGUAGAUAUUAGGAGGAACACCGGUGGCGAAGGCGGCUUUCUGGACUGUAACUGACGUUGAGGCUCGAAAGCGUGGGGAGCAAAC